AUUAUGUGAGAUAAACAGUAAAUAAAUUUAGAAAACACUAUUUUAAAUAGAAGUGAUCACUUUAUAGACAGACAAUAUACUAAUUGUAAAUUAUGCUUAAAUAUUCAUUAAAGCCAAGUACACUUGAGUCACUCACCAGAAUGAUUAUUAUUUGUUAUAUUUAGAAGUAUUCCAUUUAAAAUAUAGAUAGACUAUUUCAAAAUUUUCAUGAAUAAAAGGCUUCUCAGUUAUUUAAAUUCAACUUUUCUACAAUAAGUAUAUAUUUUAAAAUAUAAAUUCUGGUGAUCAGUGUUAUUUUUUGCUUUUUUCUCUGAUAUUCCUGAAGGUAAAAGCAGCAAAUGAACUCUACAAAGUUUGUGUAACAAAUGUUGAAAAAAGACAAAAUGAUCUAGAAAACACCAAAAGAGAAAUUUUAACACAACUCAGGACACUUGUUUUCCAGUGUGAUCUUAUCCUUAAAGCUGUAACCGUUAAUCUGUUCCAGAUGCAGCACUUGCAGGCUGCCUCCCUUGCAAACAGUUUAGACUUUCCCUGUGAUAGUGCCAAACUUUAUGAUCCAGGCCAAGAGUACAGUGAAUUUGUGAAGGCUACAAAGUCAACUGAAGAAGAAAAAGUUGAUGGGAAUGUAAAUAAACCAUUAACAAAUAGUUCCCAGAUGUCCAGAUGUGGCCCUUCUCACUCUUUAAAGGAUGUUGUGUGCCUUCCUGACAGUUGUAAUAAAAUUGAAGAGGACAGAUUGAGUUUCCAUCCAGACUUUGCAUUUGAACAAGAUCUCCCAGGUGAUUCAC